rnacentral:lncRNA from 1 species
AGUGAUCACAGUGAAUGGUAUCAGCUCUACGUACGCCCGGAACUUUUCUAUUUCUCCCACUGCCGCUAGACACUCCUUCUCUGGCACACUAUAGUUUAGUUGUGCGCCUCUCAGCUUCGCCGAAAAGAAAGCAAUGGGGUGUUCGGCUUCCUCCUCAUCCUUCUGGAAAAGAACCGCACCGAUUCCCACAUGACUUGCAUCACACUGGAUGAAGAAGUGCUUCUUAAAGUCCGGGUGAUGCAAUACCGGCGCGCUGGUAAGUGCUUUUUUUAGCUCCUCAAAAGAGUUUCGUGCGUCCGUUGUUAGCUGAAAUUGUCCUUUUCCUUUCAGGCAGUCUGUGAGGGGCUGAAAGUACCCAAAAAUCUCCUGACUUUUCUCACGUUUUUCGGCAUCGGUAUCUGCACGAUCGCUUGCACCUUCUCGGGGUCGGUCCUCAGUGCGCCAUCGCCCACAAUGUACCCCAGGUAAUUCAGGUACUUAUAGCAGAACCUAGACUUUUUCUUUCCUAUUGUCAGGUUUGCCGUAUCCAGGCACUUUGCGACUUCCUCUAGCAGCUUUACGUGCUCCUCAAACGUUCGGGAAAUCACCAACAGGUCGUCCAAAUACACAAACACGUGGCUUCGGAGUCGCUGCGGGAUUACCCGGUCCAUCAGCCGACACAACCGCUGGGCUGCGUUACACAAACCGAACGGCAUUGAUUUGAACUGGUAGAGUGGUCUUCCUGGGACCGUAAAUGCCGUAUAUGUCCUACUCUCCGGCUCCAGCUCUAUCUGCCAAAACGCAUGCUUCAGGUCGAUGCUACUGAUGAACACGGUGUCCUCCACCCGGCUCAGGAUCGACUCGAUACUCUGAAGCGGAUACGCAUCUUUGACGGUUAGAGUAUUCAGUUUCCGAGCAUCCAAACACAGCCGGUUUUUCCCAGGCUUACGGACCAGCGUCACUCGAUUGCUCCACGGGCUUUCGCUCAGCUCGAUUACUCCAAGACNUGAACACGGUGUCCUCCACCCGGCUCAGGAUCGACUCGAUACUCUGAAGCGGAUACGCAUCUUUGACGGUUAGAGUAUUCAGUUUCCGAGCAUCCAAACACAGCCGGUUUUUUCCAGGCUUACGGACCAGCGUCACUCGAUUGCUCCACGGGCUUUCGCUCAGCUCGAUUACUCCAAGACGCAACAUUUCGUCGACUUCAGCAAACAACAGCUCCUGUACCGCCGGGGAUACCGGGUAAAAGCGUUCUUUUACUGGCACGGCUCCCUCCACCAGGCGUAUCUCGUGUUUUACCAUCGUCGUCCUUCCCAAUCCGUGCUUGUCAAAGCACCGAAAUUUGUCUUUCACCUGUUCCAUGCGUACUUGCUGCGACUGGGUUAAAUUAUGAGGUUCAGUCGGCCUACUUCUCGUCAGCAGCUCUGCCUCGAUCUCUUCUAAUUCCUCUUCUCGUUCCAGGCCUACUAUAUGCGGAGCCAAUCCAAACUUUCGCCAGAAAUCGACCCCCAGAUACAGUGAUUGCUUCAAUGACGGACACAAGAAUAACUCUAUCGGGUGCUUCUGGCCUUUGUAUNGGUAAGUGCCUUUUUUAGCUCCUCAAAAGAGUCUCGUGCGUCCGCUGUUAGCUGAAAUUGUCCUUUUCCUUUCAGGCAGUCUGUGAGAGGGGCUGAAAGUGCCGAAAAAUUCCGGAUGAAUCGCCGAUACCAGCCCGCCGUACCCAAAAAUCUCCUGACUUGUCUCACGUUUCUCGGCAUCGGUAUCUGUACGAUCGCUUGCACCUUCUCGGGGUCGGUCCUCAGUGCGCCAUCGCCCACAAUGUACCCCAGGUACUUCAGGUACUUAUAGCAGAACCUAGACUUUUUCUUUCCUAUUGUCAGGUUUGCCGUAUCCAGGCACUUUGCGACUUCCUCUAGCAGCUUUACGUGCUCCUCAAACGUUCGGGAAAUCACCAACAGGUCGUCCAAAUACACAAACACGUGGCUUCGGAGUCGCUGCGGGAUUACCCGGUCCAUCAGCCGACACAACCGCUGGGCUGCGUUACACAAACCGAACGGCAUUGAUUUGAACUGGUAGAGUGGUC